UAAAAAACCGUUCGCGACGGUCCCGCGCGAGCGGGCGAGAAAGGGAAUGCCGUGCGCUGCCUUCGGGUGGCAAGUCGGCAGCUGCCCCCGCAACUGUCAGCGAUGAGGUAUCCUCCGCGCCCCUCUCCGGUUUCCAGCCGGGAUGGGCUGCCACUGGAUCGGAAUGAUCCGGGAAGGCUGGAAGUAUGCCGUUUCCACAUCGCGAGCCAGGAGACCUGCCGUCGUCAAUGGAUCACA
rnacentral:ncRNA from 2 species